ACUUGAAUAUUAGUAGUUAUAGGCUUUAAAUUCAAAGGAUUUGGCGGUAUUUUAGUCUUGUUAGAGGAACCUGUUCUAUAAAUGAUACUACACGAAGAAUCUUACUUACUUUUGCUUUCAGUUUGUAUACCGUCAUUAUUAGAUAACCUUUGUUGAGAAAGUUAUUGGGGCGCAAGGAGUUAAAUAUAUUAGAUCAAGGUGCAGCUCAUAGGUAAGAAGAAAUGGGUUACAAUAAAAUUUAUUUAAACGUAUUGUUAGUUGAAUAACUAGCAUGAAGGAGGAUUUAAUUGUAAUGUAAAUUUUAACAAGUUAACAUGAUAUGAGAACUAGAAUAUGUACACAUACGCCCGUCGC
rnacentral:rRNA from 1 species